rnacentral:rRNA from 1 species
UGGGGAAUAUUGGACAAUGGGCGCAAGCCUGAUCCAGCCAUGCCGCGUGUGUGAGGAAGGCCCUAGUGUUGUAAAGCUCUUUCACCGGUGAAGAUAAUGACGGUAACCGGAGAAGAAGCCCCGGCUAACUUCGUGCCAGCAGCCGCGGUAAUACGAAGGGGGCUAGCGUUGUUCGGAUUUACUGGGCGUAAAGCGCACGUAGGCGGACUUUUAAGUCAGGGGUGAAAUCCUGGGGCUCAACCCCGGAACUGCCUUUGAUACUGGAAGUCUUGAGUAUGGUAGAGGUGAGUGGAAUUCCGAGUGUAGAGGUGAAAUUCGUAGAUAUUCGGAGGAACACCAGUGGCGAAGGCGGCUCACUGGACCAUUACUGACGCUGAGGUGCGAAAGCGUGGGGAGCAAACAGG